GAUCUCUGGUGGUGUCAAGCUAUGGUCAGGAUUGUCCAGAGAAGCCAAGCUCUGGAGAAAGGCAGCUCUUCCAAGUCAAUGGCACCAGGUUGAGAUGGUGUUUGUGGCCACAGCAGAGCUCUGUGGUUGCCACAGGAAAAGUGCUCUGCAAAAGCAACAUGUCAACAAAGUUCUAGGGACAAAGGGAUGUUUUCCACUGGUUCCCUGAGUUACCCAUGCCAAUGCUGAAUCGCUCCUUCAGUGAAGAAACUCUUCCUGAUAUCCAACCUGAACCUCCCUUGGUGCAGCUUGAGGCCAUUUCCCAACUACAGAACUUCUGAAACCCAAAGCCCCUUGGAAAUGCACCUUGCAGCUGAGCUCAGAUGGGCAUAAAAAUGGAAAGCAAGGAGAAGGUCAUGCAGCACAGCCAGCUGGCUUUGAUGAACUUCACCCAGGUGAUUUUGGAGACCACCAAAGGAGAAGGAUCACAUCCUCAGGGGAAUAGCAAGAUGAGGAAGAAAUCCAUCCUCUCUAGAGAGGAAACACCAUCUGAACACAUAACAAGAGAGAAUGGUGCACCCAGGAAAAGCACAUCCAACAGUGGGAUGUUGCAACUUCAAAACACCUUUCCAGACUGAUACCACUCUUGGGACAACGUGGAGGUAAAGUGGUCAUCACGAAGUAUUUCUGGGGCUGGAGGAACCUGCAGUCAGCAUCACUUCUCCCCAAACUGCCAAAAGGUUGGAAGGAGAGGGUCUGGCUGUUCAGGAAGUACCCAGGACAGCUUACUCACGAGCAUGCUUUGCCUUUGACUCUCUUUCAUCUAGAUUUUUGCAUAAAUCCGGUGCUGCCUUUAGGGAAAUGCAAAUUCCCUGGAGAAAGGGGAGCGUUUGAAGGUGCUGGCUGCUCUGACGCGCCAGGCAAGGAAGCGACGCUUUUAUCACCUGAAAAUUAAAUAAAGGCUGAGAUGUGAAGCCUCCCCACCCUGCUAAGCAGGAAAACUUCCUCAGCUCCUACGGCCGGAUCCAGCAGGGAUGGGACAGGCAGGAUGCAGCGUUUCAUCCGUGCUCUGCACAUCCUCCCCAGCCCCAGGGGUGAGCUUUAAUGGCCUGGAGACACGCAAGCUGCUCCAGCUCCCCUUGGUUUCCCGGCUCUGCUUGGCUCCCUGGCUCCUGGAUGGUUUCUGAGGCAUUUUGACACCCCAGUGUGGGUGGCAUUUCCAAGCCACCCUUGCUGUGCUGGAGCAGGCUCUAAUCAAGCUGAAAGCAAAUGAGCUUCCCUGGGUAAAGGAAGCUGCAAGCUCAAAUUCAUCAUUUAUGAUAAAGCUGAUUGAUAGUAAAUGCACAUGCUCUGCUUCUCAGCAGGGAAAAAGGGAAAGGAGGUGAAUGAAAAAGCAACAGCAGUAACAAGCUGUCUGUGUUAAAUACUGGCUUUGAAAUCCGUCCAGAAUGGUCCCUGUCCCUGUGCUCCCAGGGGCACAUAAGAGGGUUUCAGCCUGGGGAGGAAGCAGACAGACAUUCCCUGUUCUGUUUGCCAUGCAUGUAUCCUGGGAGGGUUUUUCUCCACCUCUUUUUCAUGCUGCUUCCUAAAGAGCCAGGCUGCUGCAAACAGAAAAUAAAACAUUGAGGAACAUCUAUGGAGGCUUUGCAGAACACCCAGUGCUGACUUAAGGCUCAGUUAAUUCCCCCACUGUAAGCUCCUUUGGUACAGAGAAAAAGCAAAAUUAGGGCAUUCCUAUUAAUAUACCUUGCUCCAUGCUGAAAUCCAUACUAUUUCAACUACCGUAGAAGAAAAACCCUACAGACACAGAUGUGUACACAGUA